ACGUAGGUGGCAAGCGUUGUCCGGAUUUAUUGGGUUUAAAGGGUGCGUAGGCGGUCUUUUAAGUCAGUGCUGAAAUACUCCAGCUUAACUGGAGGGGUGGCAUUGAUACUGGGAGACUUGAGUGUAGUCGAGGUAGGCGGAAUUGACGGUGUAGCGGUGAAAUGCUUAGAUAUCGUCAAGAACACCGAUAGUGAAGACAGCUUACUAGGCUACAACUGACGCUGAGGCACGAAAGUGUGGGGAUCAAACAGGA
rnacentral:rRNA from 1 species